GACGAACGCUGGCGGCGUGCCUAAUACAUGCAAGUCGAACGCAGUGGGGACGGGUGAGUAACACGUGGGUAACCUCCCAUCAGAGGGGAUAACACUUGGAAACAGGUGCUAAACCGAUACUGAUGGAUGAACCCGCGGUGCAUUAGCUAGUUGGUGAGGUAACGGCGCACCAAGGCCACGAUGCAUAGCCGACCCGAGAGGGUGAUCGGCCCCAAUGGGAAGUGGAAAAGGCCCAGACUCCGACGGGAGGCCGCAGUAGGGAAGUUUCGGCAAAGGACGAAAGUUCGACCGAGCAACGCCGGGUGAGUGAAGAAGGUUUUCGGAUCGUAAAAAUCGUGUGUUAGAGAAGCGGUAUUUAACCAGAAAGCCACGGCUAACUACGGGGCAGGAGCCGGGGUAAUUC
rnacentral:rRNA from 1 species